rnacentral:rRNA from 1 species
CCUGGCACUGGAGCCGAUGAAGGACGCGAUUACCUGCGAAAAGCCCCGACGAGCUGGAGAUACGCUUUGACUCGGGGAUGUCCGAAUGGGGAAACCCACCUCGUAAGAGGUAUCCGCAAGGAUGGGAACUCAGGGAACUGAAACAUCUCAGUACCUGAAGGAGAAGAAAGAGAAUUCGAUUCCGUUAGUAGCGGCGAGCGAACCCGGAUCAGCCCAAAC